GUCGACGUCAGCGUGAUGACGUCACGGGACGGGUACUCGAGAAGGUCUGGGGGCACCUUUCCGCGGGCGGUGGGUUGUGUGUGGUCCGCAGGGCUAGAUUCCCGGUCCCGCCCCGCCCAGCUCCGCCCCUCCGCCCGCAAGGACUCCUGCGGGCACAGUCCGGGAGCCGCUGUCGCCCGGCCAGCCUGAGGCGGCCGGCCGGGAACAACCCGAUGAGGAUCUCUUCCCUCUAGGGAUGGUGAGGUCGGAGAGAGGCUCCUCUAAGCCUCCUGCAGGAUGAACCCCCUGCCAGAAGACAUGGAGAACACUCUCACGGGGAGUCAGAGCUCGCAUGCAUCCUUGCGUGAUGUCCAUUCCAUCAACCCCACACAACUCAUGGCCAGGAUUGAGUCCUAUGAAGGAAGAGAAAAGAAAGGCAUAUCUGAUGUCAGGAGGACUUUCUGUUUGUUUGUCACCUUUGACCUCUUAUUUGUAACCUUACUGUGGAUAAUAGAGUUAAAUGUGAAUGGAGGUAUUGAGAACACGUUAGAGAAGGAGGUGGUGCAGUAUGACUACUACUCUUCUUAUUUUGAUAUCUUUCUUUUGGCAGUUUUUCGAUUUAAAGUGUUAAUACUUGCAUACGCGGUGUGCAGACUGCGCCACUGGUGGGCCAUAGCGUUGACGACAGCAGUGACCAGUGCCUUUUUACUAGCAAAAGUGAUCCUCUCAAAGCUUUUCUCUCAAGGGGCUUUCGGCUACGUGCUGCCCAUCAUCUCCUUCAUCCUUGCCUGGAUCGAGACGUGGUUCCUGGAUUUCAAGGUGUUACCCCAAGAGGCAGAAGAAGAAAACAGACUCCUGAUAGUUCAAGACGCCUCAGAGAGGGCAGCCCUUAUACCUGGUGGGCUUUCUGAUGGUCAGUUUUAUUCUCCUCCUGAAUCUGAAGCAGGAUCAGAAAAUGAAGCUGAAGAAAAGCAGGACAGUGAAAAACCACUUUUAGAACUAUGAGUAAGACUCCGGUCAAAGUAAGUCUUUGAAAAAUGAACCUGUAACAACAAAGUAGCUAAAUAUGGAAACUUUCUUUGAGUAGAUUCAAAGUAAAAUUCAAAAAUUGAGUGUGAUUAUAUAGUUAUAUUUCUCGUUUUUACAUGAAUUUUCAGACACAUUUUUAAUGUAAGAUUUCUGAACGUUUUCUAGGUGUUAAUUUGCAAAGGAUGAAAAAUUCCUCAGAGUCCCACAUUUCUAAGUAAGGAUGAGCUAGUUCAUUUUGUUGACUUAGCUAGAAUGUCUCCUUGAUUACAAACGCUACCUUCUGACUGGGGUAAGGGGAGCAGCCUCAUGACAUUGGUCCUGUAUCGUCCCCAUUUACACCUGAGACAAAUGGGACUAGAGGGUGAGUGGCUGGUCCAAGGUGGCACAGCUGGCAGGGGCAGAGCUAGGACUCAGGCCACCCCGUCUGGUACCAGGAUCGCUCUGGCCGUGCAGCCGAGUGUCGACUGUCUCCAGGGUGUUUUGGAGUUUCUGCGAUGAAAGACGUGAUCCAUUCACAGCGGUAGGGCUUCUGUGCCUCCAGGUGGGGCACACUGUUAAACGCCUUCAAAUCAUCACAGGAAAGCAUUUCAACCUCAGAAAUACAAGCCCAUAAACAUAUUGUAGGUUGCAAUAGCAGGAACUCUGCCUAAUUAAUUUCAGCCAGAAGGAAAAGGAGAGUAGAUCUUAAAAGAAAAACAAAUUAUUAUAACUAUGUAUAGUGAGGAUGUUAACUAAACUUUUCGUGGUGACCAUUUCACAAUAUAUACAAAUGUUAUGUUGUGUAACUGAAACAAUAUAUCUUAAUAAAAAUAAUAAUAAAUUUUAAAAAACAGAGUUCCCUGGUGGCACAGCGGGGAUAAGGAUCUGGUGUUACCACUGUAGUGGCUCAGGUCGCUGCUCUUGCACGAGUUCGAUCCCUGGCAUUGGAACUUCCACAUACUGCAGGUGUAAUUAAAAACAAAAAUAAAAUAAAAAGAAAGGAAUGGUAGUGGGCAGAUUUGAGUAGCUGGGCAGCCAGCACAGGGGAGACCGCAUCAGGAACAGCCAUGGCCGUGCAGUUGGAUGCCAGGGCUGCAAGAGUGGAUUGCAACACGGUUCAGCCCCUUUUUCUACAACAGUGUUCCAGACAGAAGACAAAAAUGUGGGCAGGCGUGAAAAACUUUCAUUGAAAGACACCUGAAGGAGAAAAGGGACCAUUGAAAGGUGAAAUGGUGACAUCCACUACUGACAUGAUUGAACGGCUAGUAAAGAAUUUAUUUAUUGUAAUACCUCACAGACAUUGUAUCAUAUCCACAUACAUUUGAUAGCCUGCCUGUGGCUGGUAAGAUAAUGUCAUGAUCCAUCCUGUUUUCAUGAGACUGAGUCUGAUCUGUUAAUGAAUAGUUGCAGAACGUCUCGUGCUGUAUUCUUAAUCAAAAGACUUCUAAUAUAUUGGAAUAACACUUUUUAGUAAGCAAAAUGUCUUUUUAUUUUGAUUUUUUUGUCAUGUCUCAGAUUUGUUUUGUAUUGCUUUUUUUAACACCCUACAUUUCCCUUGUGUUUUUUAACUCAUGCACAUUCACUAUUUGUACAAUUUUAAAAGGUAAUAAAAUCCAACAUGUCAAAAUGGUUAGUUUCAUUUUUUGUGGUUUGCAUUAUGUAUUUGGCCUAAAGUGUUAGAAUUACAAAAGGGGGGCAUGAGGGAUUGUGAAUCCAUGUAGAAGGUCACCAGAAAUAGUAUCUUUCUCUUAGAGGUAUGAUCUCAAAAGUCUGAGUACUCUCACUUUAAACCCACUCUUUGAAAUCAAUUGUCGUCACUUUCCCUUGUAUUUAGAUAGAGUGAAUUAAAAUGAACUCAGUUAUA